CUUAUACUCCCUCCGUCUCGAAUUACUUGUCUUACAUUUGUCUAGAUACGGAUGUAUCUAGACACGUUUUAGUGUUUGAUACAUCCGUAUCAAAUCUAAGACAAGUAAUUUGGGACGGAGGUACUAAUAU
rfam:Triticum aestivum genome assembly, contig: Triticum_aestivum_CS42_TGACv1_scaffold_223070_3B